GUUAUAAUUUUUAUUCGGAGCGGACGGCCGGAGGCCGCCCGAAGCCCUCCGGUGAUGGAUAAGUGGUUAGAUUACUGGGUGCCGAGCGAGGGUGCCCUCCGGGUAACCUCCGACUACCUGCUUCGAACAAAAAUUAUAACCUGAUUGAGACGAUGAACCUAAGAAGGGAUCGCAAUAAUUUACGAUCAUGAUCCGACCACAAAUGCGAGUGGCACAUCCUAACCACAAGGUCCAGAUCCUGCCUCGCGUUUUGGUCGUCUGCUAAGCUCCUGUGAGGCCGAGCCGGAGUGACAUCGGAAGAAGAGGCGAAAUGGUGCAGAGGUUAACGUAACGGCAUAGCAAUGCUACCAAAUCGAAUCAGACUCCUGUCGUCAAAACUCCAGGUGGGAAGCUCGUGUACCAGUACACGCACAAGAUGGCCAGCGGACCGAAAUGCCCUGUGACUGGGAAGCGAAUUCAAGGGGGUGUAAUAUUUGAAUGUGCUACAGCAAUUCUUCUUUCGUUUUUACAAGAGUAAUGUUCUUCUCUGGUUUUCACAAAAAUCUACCUCAUUCGGUACAUUCUUCCAUAUUCACAAGUAAGAUUUGUAUUGAUAAUUUUAUAUGAAUAAUUAAGAUUAUUAAGGAUAACCCUUAACCAAACACAUCCUCAAAGUAUUUGAGCUUUCUUGGUCGAAGAGCAGAAGAUCGUCAAGAAGGCGCUGAAGAUCCAGAAGGCGAAAGAGCGGCAAGUCUCCAAGAGCUAAGCCAUCCGUAAACCGGAAACUCGGAAUGGUUUCUGUUAUUUUGAAUCUAGAAAUUUUGUUUUCACUCUGUUGUUAUGUUUGCUACAAACUUUAAAGGCACUGGUUGGUUAAAUUGCCGGCGUUUA